ACAUUACACAACCACAGCGCCGCCGUGAAGUUCUUCCCCUCUCUCCCUCUCCUUCUUCCUCUGUUUUUUGUGUUUUUUUCCUCCUUUUUCUUCUUCUUCUUCGUCUCCAUCCAUUUUCCUGCGCCACCGCCCGGUGAAGUAUGCCGUUCAAUAACAUCUUGCCGCCGACCUUUGGUUCCCUGUCGACGAGCAAGAUUCCCCUGUGCUAUCGGUAAGCGUUGGCGUAGAGGCGAAAAUUGUGGAAUUGGAAUGGGAAGAGAUUAACUAAGGAGUAAAAGCAAGAGUCAAAUGCCACUUGCCCUCCUCCGCUCUGCCCUGUGACGUCGGUGAGUAGAUUUUGGGAGGUUUUGUUUGCUAAGUGAAAUAGGAAAGGGAAAAGGAACACACCCUUCCAUUCCAUUCUACAGAAUGUCGAACCCCGAUGAAAGCUUCUCUCAGUUUGACAUCUCCGAGCAUGAGAAGGACAAAUUAGUUGGGGAAGUGAUUCGCUACAUUCUCUUCAAAUACGAACAGAAUUCAAAUUGUCCGAUAAAAAGGGAGGAACUGACACAGUUGAUAACCAGGAAAGGAUAUAAGCAGAGGACAUUGCCUGCUUUCGUAAUCGAUGAGGCGAAACGCAAACUAUCCUCCAUUUUUGGCUAUGAAAUGAGAGAGCUUCAGCGACCCAGGGCUGCCGGCCGUGCUUCACAGUCACAUCUUUCAGCGGAGGCAAAAUCGUACAUAAUCAUAAGCCAGCUCUCAGCAGAUAUCUACAGAAAAUUUGUCGAGGAUCCACGUUCCUCCCCCACAUCGGGUUUUACUUUUGUUGUUGUUGGCAUCAUUCACCUUGGUGGGGGCAAACUCUCUGAAGAAAAUCUUUGGCAUCAUCUGAUGCGGCUGGGACUGCACAAAAAUGAUGAAAAUCAUCCUGAAUUUGGGAACAUCAAACUUGCACUAGAAACACUUGUCCAACAAAGAUUCUUGCAGAAAGAAAAGGUCAGUGGCCCAGAAGGUACCACUCUAUAUUAUGAACUUGCAGAGAGAGCUCUAGAUGGAGCAGUUUAUGACAAGAUCAAAGAUUACGUAUCUCAGAUUGUGCAAAAGGACGCCACGGCAUUAGAGGCUGAAUAAUUUCCUAUGGUUCACUAAGCUUCUUUUCUCUGCACAACCUCUACUCAUAGAAACAGAUGAUGAAUAGUGGCCAGAGCAAUAUUGAUAUUCUGCUAUAUUGGGAUGGUAACAUUAUACGAAAGUCGGAUACAGUAGAAUAUGAUUGUGAUCCACAGUGUAUGACAGUUGUUCGGCGAGAUAGUACAUUUGAAGAUUUAGAAAGUUAGAUUUACAAUUUGACUGGAAAAAAUCGGAUGCAAUAUUCUCUGAUUUUGAAAAUGCCUUAUAGUUGGACGAAUGGAUAAGAUAAUCAGAGAAUGAGACUUAUUACUAUGAAUGACUUCAAUCUGCAGCACUUUUUAAAUCUAUAAAAUAGUUAUCAAUGUUUGGAGUUGUUUGUUGAAUUUCAACUGAAUGAUACAAGUGCGGUUGUAGAGACAACAUAUGUGAAUCCCAACAUAAGGCUUGAGCAAACAGAAGAUGAUAUACACAUAUUAGAUGCAGAUUGUCAAGGAGUUGGAGAAGAUAAAUCUAGUGAAUCAGAAUCAAUUUCAUGCUCAGAUGAUGAAAUAGAGAUAUUUGGAAAUUGUGAAAAAGGGGUUGUGGAUGCUACUGCAUUAUGGAAAGAGUCAAGGCCAUCGGGAUCUCCUAAAUCAGGUACAAUUCUACAUUCAGGUAGUCAAAAUGAAUAUCAGUUGAUUGAAUAUUUUCAGAAGUUGCCUGAGGAGGAGUUUCAACAAGACACAUAUGGCACUUUCAAUCGUAGAUGGGAUGUUUACACAAAAAGUAGUGGUGCUCUUAUUUCUGGGAUGGUAUUCAAAGAUAAAAAACAAAUGCAAAUGGCCGUUAAGGAUUAUUCAAUUCGUGUGGUUGGGAGGGAAUAUAUUGUGACAAAGAGCAAUCGUAUGGUCUUCAGAGUAAAGUGUAAGCACUACGGAAAAAAUGGUUGCGGGUGGGGUGUGACUGCAUCAUAUAAACCACAUUUAGAAUGUUGGCAGUUAAUUACGGUGAUGCCCGACCACACGUGUAUCCCAGAUGAUGUAUCGUUGGGACACAGAAACUUGGAUGUUAACAUGAUAGCAAAUUUACUAAAAGAGUUUGUAAGAAGAAAUCCGGCAUAUGAGUUAGAAAAUGUGGAGAGAGCGGUGAAGAUAGAAUUUGGGUUUGAUAUUUCUUAUUCAAAGGCCAGCAUGGCUUGAAAAGGGCUAUUGAAGAUGUUUAUGGGACAUGGGAGAGUUCAGUGCAAGAACUCCCAACCUAUAUGGAAACUCUUCAAAAGUAUGUAUCAAAUACUAUUGUUGAGUGGUCACAUGUAGAAACGGCACAUCGAGAAGAGUACACACUUGGCUAUGUGUUUUAGGCAUUUGGACCUUGCAUUGAAGCUUAUCGUCAUUGUCGUAAUGUGAUUAGUGUGGAUGGAACUCAUCUAUAUGCAAAAUACAAGCAUGUGAUGUUGAUUGCCGCUACUAUAGAUGCUAACCACCAUGUGCUGCCAUUAGCAUUUGCCAUUGUUGAUACUGAAUCUUGGUUAUGGUUUCUUCAGUUAGUAAGCGGAUAUAUUGUGCAGGAUCGGUAUCACAUGUGUCUCAUAUCUGAUAGACAUGUUGGGAUAACAAGUGCAGUUGAGCGUAUUCCUGUUUUCCACCCUCCUCGUGGCCGACAUCGAUUUUGCCUUAGACAUGUAUGUUCCAACUUCAACCAAUACGUUAAAGAUGUAAGACUGAAGGAUAUGUGUUGGAGGGCAGGGGCAUCCAUUGAUCCAUUGGAGUUUAAUGAAACAACUUCUAAAUCAAGCAGCUUAUGAUUGGCUUAACAGAAUUGACAAGAGCAAAUGGGCCAUUGCAUAUGACGAAGAGUGGCGACAUGGUAUACUAACAACCAAUUUGUCCGAAUGCAUUAAUGGUGUAUUAAAAGGGGCACGACGACUACCGAUCACUGCUCUCGUACAGUUGACAUACGAUCGUGUGGUUUCAUUUUUUGUUAAGAGGGUGCAUGAUACUCGAGAUAAACAAGAAUCCGGCUAUGAAUGGUCACCUUGGGCACGAACAAGAUAUAUAGACUCGGAGCGGAAGAGCCGGAAAAAUAUGGGUGUGGUGAUAAAUGAGGAUGAAUAUGAGGCAAAAGUGUUUACACUAGACAGUAUUGGCCAGAGAUCAAAGGAACAUAUUGUUUCAAUCAAGAGAGAUUUUUGCUCAUGUGGUGGAUGGGCGUUAGAUGGGGUGCCAUGUUCACACAUUUUAGAAACAUGUCGUAUGUUCCAUUUGAAUGGAAAGCGAUAUGUGCGUGACUAUUAUUCGAUUGAUUCAUGGAUAAACACGUACAUCGUCCCUUUCCAUGCAUAUCCGGAUAAGUCACUUUGGGAACCAGCCUCAUUUAAGUUGGUGCAUAAUCCUUCGCGACGUAAAAUUAAGAGAAGAGGAGGUGAUCGCACUACACGUAUUCGGAAUGAAAUGGAUCGUGGCCAGAAACAAGCAAGGCGACAAGCAAAUGAAAAUUAAGGUAGGAUGCAAGUGAUUUUAUUGCAAUAUAAGGAUUCAAGUAUGAAUUUUAUUGAAGCAAAAACAAACAUGGAGCCCGGUUGUCUUUCAAAGGCAUGCCCAAAUAAUCAGAUGCAAAAGGCUACAUGAGCUGCUUCGAACAUCGGCUGCAUAGAAGAGUUUCUGAUUUGUAGCGAGUCAUUUUAUUAGCUUACAUAUAAUGUUGGUACAUUGAAGUUUCCAUGGCUUACUGACCUGCAUGUUAUGUUUAUACCACAGAACAUUA